rnacentral:lncRNA from 1 species
GGGUGAGCUAAUAAGCAUAUAAAUUAUUAGAAAUUCUAAUUCUAUUAAUGUUUUGAUAGAAAAAAUGAAGCUUUAAUAAUACUCAGCACCAGGAUUGAUGUGAGUGUUCUCAUUCAGUUCUUCAUUUAUUCGGUCUUGUGCCUUGCAGGUGUGGUAAGAGGCGGGGCCUGAAAUGUCCUGCAGCCUUUGUGUGAUUAGACAGCUGUACUGGAAGCCAGUGGGACCUGGGGACCUGGGACUUGGGACCUGGGGAAAGUUGCCUACUGUAACGGUUCCUACCUCCUCAUUCCCUGGAAGGAUCUCCUCGGCAGCCAUUUACCAAGCAGUGCCUCUUCCUGAAGCAGCUACCGAGCGGUACUCAUCUGCCCUCACAAGAAGGCUUAGGGCAGCUGUGAUUUUGCCCAAUUUUCAUUUUUAGAGACCUGAGGGUUGGUGAUUACUUCCUAUGUGGCUAGUAAGUUGGGAUCUAAACUCAGCCGAGUCUUGUUCCAAAUGUCUCUUACAACAUGUAAUGUUCCUCACUCUGCCCUUAUUACUGAUAUGUCAAGCAUUUCAUUCAGACCACUGCAGUAGUGAGUCAAGCUUGGCACUUUCCAAGAAGAGAACGUACUUCCUCCCCUCCAGAGGAGAGUGAGCAACUGUCAAACCUCGGUCAGAUUGCUCAGGGACGGAACCUGUGAUGACUGAGGUAAUGAAACAUCUUGUGCUUUUCUCAUAGUGAUAACAUUUCCCACACGUGUGGUCACCGCUUCUUAGCGUCUUAUAACCGUGAAGAGCGCUUUGGGGGUUCUCCUCCCCCAGCUGACCCGGCCUCUGUGGAGAGCCCUUCCUGGUCUUCCUCACGGCCCAGGAAGUUUAUAUUUUAAUCCCAUGAAAAAGUGAUUGAAAUAGUAGUGAGUUAAUUCCAAUCUACCACUUCCAGGGCAACCCACGGCGAGAAUAAAGACACUAAGGCAUAUUUGUGGCUAAAAGGAGCCAAGGGGUCCUACGUUCCGCUAUGAUGAUGGCUAACUGGAACAAAGGCCUUGGCCCGGAGCUGAAGCUGGGUUUUAUUAAUUCAUGAAGAGAGGAGUGGCUCGAGGAUGAGUGACUGUGAGAAUUGAG